rnacentral:rRNA from 1 species
GUACACACCGCCCGUCGCUACUACCGAUUGAAUGGCUUAGUGAGGCCUCUGGAGCCGGUCUUGUGAGAAAUUGCGAGACUGGCAAAACUGGUCAAACUUGGUCAUUUAGAGGAAGUAAAAGUCGUAACAAGGUUUCCGUAGGUGAACCUGCAAAAGGAUCA